GCCUCCUUGGCCAUGGUGUCUACGUGCUUGGACCAGGACAGGCUGUUGGUGAUGUUCACUCCUAGGAACUUGAAGCUCUCAACCCUCUCGACCUCAGCACCGUUGAUGUAGGCAGGUUGCUCUCUGAGGAGUGGCUUUACUGAAGGUCAUCAUAUGUUACCAAGUAGCUAAAUAUACAGCAGGCAGACUGCCAGAGCCCUGUGGGAGAGAGGACUGGAGUGAGGGAAAGACCGAGGAGCCUGCAGAACAUGGUUUAAAGAACAAUCCGGAAUAUUUAUCUCUGAACAGGAUUGCAGGGCAAGUGAAUUCAGAGUGAAAUCACAGGUUUUUCCUGUGCACGUAAAAAAGAUGGAGAGCCAGGGAACACCAGAUGAAGCCAGCGGUCUGGAGUCAGUGACUGACACUUCCAAAGAGCAGCACACAGGCAAUGGAUCUUCACUCUCCCAAAGGGCAGAGGAGGGAGGAAGUGAGGAGAGUGCAGAACCUGAAGGAUUCAAGUUCUACCACAUGGACCUCUAUGAACCCAGGGGACGUUUGGAGA